UGAACGCUGGCGGCGUGCCUAAUACAUGCAAGUCGAGCGAACAGACGAGGAGCUUGCUCCUCUGACGUUAGCGGCGGACGGGUGAGUAACACGUGGAUAACCUACCUAUAAGACUGGGAUAACUUCGGGAAACCGGAGCUAAUACCGGAUAAUAUAUUGAACCGCAUGGUUCAAUAGUGAAAGACGGUUUUGCUGUCACUUAUAGAUGGAUCCGCGCCGCAUUAGCUAGUUGGUAAGGUAACGGCUUACCAAGGCAACGAUGCGUAGCCGACCUGAGAGGGUGAUCGGCCACACUGGAACUGAGACACGGUCCAGACUCCUACGGGAGGCAGCAGUAGGGAAUCGUCCGCAAUGGGCGAAAGCCUGACGGAGCAACGCCGCGUGAGUGAUGAAGGUCUUCGGAUCGUAAAACUCUGUUAUUAGGGAAGAACAAAUGUGUAAGUAACUAUGCACGUCUUGACGGUACCUAAUCAGAAAGCCACGGCUAACUACGUG
rnacentral:rRNA from 1 species